rnacentral:rRNA from 1 species
UACAGGGGGUGCAACCGUUGCUCGGAAUCAUUGGGCGUAAAGCGCACGUAGGCGGUUCGGUAUGUCGGAUGUGAAAGCCCUUGGCUUAACCGAGGAAGUGCAUCCGAAACUGGCGAGCUAGAGUACUAAAGAGGAUCGCGGAAUUCCCGGUGUAGAGGUGAAAUUCGUAGAUAUCGGGAGGAACACCGGUGGCGAAGGCGGCGAUCUGGGUAGAUACUGACGCUGAGGUGCGAAAGCGUGGGGAGCAAACAGG